AUUGAACGCUGGCGGCAUGCCUUACACAUGCAAGUCGAACGGCAGCACGGGAGCAAUCCUGGUGGCGAGUGGCGAACGGGUGAGCAAUGUAUCGGAACGUACCUUUCAGUGGGGGAUAACGUAGCGAAAGUUACGCUAAUACCGCAUAUUCUGUGAGCAGGAAAGCAGGGGAUCGCAAGACCUUGCGCUGAUUGAGCGGCCGAUAUCAGAUUAGCUAGUUGGUGAGGUAAAGGCUCACCAAGGCGACGAUCUGUAGCGGGUCUGAGAGGAUGAUCCGCCACACUGGAACUGAGACACGGUCCAGACUCCUACGGGAGGCAGCAGUGGGGAAUUUUGGACAAUGGGCGCAAGCCUGAUCCAGCCAUGCCGCGUGAGUGAAGAAGGCCUGGUUGUAAG
rnacentral:rRNA from 1 species